AACGAACGCUGGCGGCAUGUCUAACACAUGCAAGUCGAACGCCUGUAGCAAUACAGGAGUGGCAGACGGGUGCAAAACGCGUGGAAACCUAUCCUUGGGUUCGGAAUAACCGCGGGAAACUGCGGCUAAUACCGGAUACGUCCUUCGGGAGAAAGAUUUAUCGCCCAUUGAGGGGUCCGCGUCUGAUUAGCUAGUUGGUGAGGUAAUGGCUCACCAAGGCGACGAUCAGUAGCUGGUCUGAGAGGAUGAUCAGCCACACUGGAACUGAGACACGGUCCAGACUCCUACGGGAGGCAGCAGUGGGGAAUAUUGGACAAUGGGCGCAAGCCUGAUCCAGCAAUGCCGCGUGGGUGAUGAAGGCCUUCGGGUUGUAAAGCCCUUUUGGCGGGGACGAUGAUGACGGUACCCGCCGAAUAAGCUCCGGCUAACUUCGUGCCAGCCGCCGCGGUAAGAC
rnacentral:rRNA from 1 species